AGUGAACGCUGGCGGUAGGCCUAACACAUGCAAGUCGAACGGCAGCACAGUAAGAUCUUGCUCUUACGGGUGGCGAGUGGCGGACGGGUGAGGAAUACAUCGGAAUCUACUUUUUCGUGGGGGAUAACGUAGGGAAACUUACGCUAAUACCGCAUACGACCUACGGGUGAAAUUAGGGGAUCGUCGGACCUUUCGCGAUUGAAUGAGCCGAUGUCGGAUUAGCUAGUUGGCGGGGUAAAGGCCCACCAAGGCGACGAUCCGUAGCUGGUCUGAGAGGAUGAUCAGCCACACUGGAACUGAGACACGGUCCAGACUCCUACGGGAGGCAGCAGUGGGGAAUAUUGGACAAUGGGCGCAAGCCUGAUCCAGCCAUACCGCGUGGGUGAAGAAGGCCUUCGGGUUGUAAAGCCCUUUUGUUGGGAAAGAAAAGCAGCAGGUUAAUACCCCGCUGUUCUGACGGUACCCAAAGAAUAAGCACCGGCUAACUUCGUG
rnacentral:rRNA from 1 species